AGAUUAGAAAGAAGCGAUUGGCAGUCUGGACCAUACAAGGGUGUUAUUCUCUUCGGUAAUAAUAUGGUGUCUAAGAAUAUUAAGUCAGCAGUAAAUACCACAAGUGUUUCUUUAGGACAACAUAUGAAAUCUGACAAUCAUCCAUUUCUGGUUGCCACAUAUACCAGAGCUUUAUGUUCCAAUGUAAAAGAGAAGUGGAAUGUAAAGCAACAUGCUAAAGCACAUACUAGUGGACUUCAGUUUAUUAGUGAAAUAGACAUCAAAGUAAAAUCAUUUGAUAUUAUUCUAUGGGUGUCAUUAUUUGAUGUUAUGCACCAAAUCUUUUAUCCAUUUUGGAAGUCUUUUGGAACUUCAAGUUACAGUUCUACGAAUGUUAUUAAUGAAAAUAAGUCUCCUAUAGGAAUAAAAUUUUCUAGUCAAAAUUUGCCAUUAUUGUACAUAGAAACAAAUAUCAUUCAGUUGUACCUACCUGAAAAUAAUAUAUUAUAUGAUUCAAUAGCCAUUUCCAGUAGUUUGAAUCAGGAAUGCCCAAAGAAUGAAAAGGAAGCUGAAGUAUUGUUAUUGCAGUUAGAUUGUGUGUCUCUGACAUCACAAGUAGAAAAUCCAUUACCGAGAAUAAUUCUGAAUCCUGGUAUUUAUUCAGAAGCUUUAAAUUCAAAAACUAUUGCACUACCUGGGGCUGCAGUUGAAGAUCGGCAGUACCAAAUGGAUAUCUUUGGUUUGGCACUUGGAUCACUUCCUGGAUCCAAUAUGUCAUGCCAAACUAGUGCGAAAAGAGAACAAUUUCUACAUCAUCCUUUAACAAUGGGUGAGAAUCCAGCACUUGAGUGGAAUAUUGGUGUUAUUCCUGAGAAUCGAAAUUUUGCAAACGAAAGCAAUGUAAUAACACCUGUUAUUUCACCAUUAAAUAUUCGCAUAGCAGUUGCACCUGCUAUAAUUUAUGAGGAUCAGAAUAAAUCUCAGUCCCAAGAAAAAAUUGCAGUAGCUGGAAUAUCUGUUGAAGUUAGUGUGACAAGUGACAUAUUCUUGUAUUUAAGUAUUGAAAAAACAUGCUUUAUUUACUCAUUGUUGAAAAGUAAUUUGAACUUCUUCUAUGGAGCAUUGUCUCAUUUUAAUCAGAAGAAAAGUACUAAUAAUUCUAAAAUCACCUCAGAAGAUGAAGUAUCUGGUUCACAAACAAGUGAUGAAUUCCAAAUUUAUAUACCAUCAUGCUUUACUCACGAUUCUUCAAAUAAUAUACCUCCCUCAACUAAAAGUGAGAAAAGCUUGAAGUAUAAUUUUGUGCCUUUUGAUAUACUGAUAACUGCAGGAUCAGUAUCUAUCAUGCUUUUUUAUCAUGACGAAACUUUAAAUUCUUCUGGACAUGAAAUUUCAGCCAAAGAAUUGAGGACUGAAACUGUUGUUUCAAAAGUAUUUUCUGAUAAGAGCUCAAAAGUAAAGUCACAUCUAGAAACUGAUCAAGUAAAACAUAAAAUUCCAUUUUCUGUUGAUAAGAAUAGUAACAAGAGUGCCACUUCAUCUGAAUACUACCAUUUCACUGUAUUGCACCCAUUUGCAUGUGUGUCUAUUGUACAGCCUCACACAUACAUACUUUGUCACCCAUCUUCACAGAAGUUUGAAUCAUCCUGCUUUGAUUUGCGAUUAUAUGGAUCACCAUCUGGACAUACAGUUAAGAAAUUGCAUAAAUCAUGUACUCCUGUAAAUGAUGAUUUCAUAUUUCCUUAUCUGGAAACAAAACCUGGAGAACCAAAUGAAAAAACUGGUAUUCCCCCUGCAUUUUUCACUGUGACAUGUACCGAUUUUUUCAAUGAUCCAGCAAAUAUUAAAAUCUCAAUUGAACGACCUGUGAAAUUCAACUUCAGAAAUGAUUUAUUAGGAUCUAUUUUGGCUUUUAUUAAAUGCUGUCAAGAAAAAUUUUCAUCUGUAAACAUACCUUAUAAGUUCAGCAUAAACUGUAAUGAACAGUCAGUGUAUAUGGAUAGUAAUUUUCAGUUUCCAGUUAAGCUGAAGAUACUGAAAUUUUUUGAGAAGAUUGUACUGUAUACAACUCAGCUGGUUUUUGAAUUCAUGCCUUCAUUGGAUGCUGUUUCAGAAAAAUUAAUAAUUUCUGCUGGUAGAGUAGUCAUAAAUACAGAAGUUGAAACACACAAAGAUGAACUUAAAAGUACUGAACUGAAUGUGAAAGUUUCAAGUAUCAUAUUACAGUCUCAUAGUGUGAAGGAAACAUGGAAUUUUUUGCAACCUUUGUCAGUUUCUUUGACUGUCAAAUGUCAUUUCAACCCAUGGUUUCAAAUUGAAUUUUGUAUAGUUGGUGAAAGCUUGCUUUUAAAUUUGAGUCUACACCAUAUUUUGAAACUAAAAGAAAUCAUUAAAGCCAUUGAGGAGGAAUUAUUGACUCAAAUAAAUUCCAUCAGAAUGAUGGUUUCCGUGGUAGAUAAAACUCUAAGUUGCUCUGCUCAGCAUUCAGAUGGUAAUGAAACAAAGAAACGAAAACAUUGGGUAGAUGAUUUAAGAAAAGGAGCUUUUCAAUUCAUACAAGUUUCUGAAGAUAAAGAUUUUCAACCUAAAGCUCAUGAAAUUGUCUUCAACCGAGCUUCUCCAAAUCAGCCUGCUUCAAUGACUUGGCGUUACCCAGAACCAAGAGCUUUGACCAAAAUUCAUGUGUCACCCGUUCCAUUUCAGUGCGAAGAGGGAAAACUUAGUGAAGAUACACAAGUUUUAACUUGCUAUCUUCAAUUCUGGAAUUCUGCUCAUCAUGAAUACAUGAACCUUUGUGAUUUUAUGCUGUCUGAAACAGAACACUGCAGUCUAGACCUGCCAGAUUUGAAUUCUGAUUUUCUAGCAGUUUCUGACAAAUGGAGAGUUCUUUUGGACUGCCGAAGUUAUAUUGAUGAUGAUGGUGUUCUUGAGAAAGAAACUCCUUGUUUAUCACCUCUUGCAUUAGCUGCCUGCAUGGCCAUUGAUUCAUGCUUUGAUCCUUGUCUGAUACCUGUUCUACAAAUCAGAGCAUCUUUUGAGCUUGCUAAACUGACUCUCUAUAAUUACUUUCAGAAAACAGGUUAUUCGCCCACAUUAUUUCCUUUUGAGUUUGAUGAUGAAUCUCCAUCCAAUCAAGAAUUUGCUGUGCUGUCAUUUAUAAACCCUACAUUAUCAUAUAUUAAAUGGUCAUCAAAAUUGAAAGGAGAAUUGUCAUCGGGUGUAACAUGUGAAAUACUAGAGUACAGAAACCUUACUAUGCUCCCUGUUAUAAGCCCAGUGGACAUACAUUGUAAUUCAUCAGUAAAUUUUGAUAAAGAAAAGGUGCCUUUGAUUGACAUAGAGUGCAUUAUACAACCGUGUUUUGUUAGAUUAACACAGUCUAUUGUUCAUACUAUUUCAUACACUGUACAUUCAUUUUAUCAGGAAUUUCUUUCUUCACCUUUUUUUUGUUCUGAAUAUAUUCUGCCAAAUUAUUAUCUGAUUUGUAACAGACUGCAUGAAAGCAUACGUUUUGGACAGACAAACACUGAAGAGUAUGUUAUUUUAUCUCCAUUAAAAGUGCAUGCAUAUAGCUGGUGGUGUCAUAAAAGUAAGCAGAUGUUGCGCCUGAGCAUUGGAAGUCUGCACUGGAAAUGGAGUUCUGAUUUCAGUAUAGAUGUUGAAGGAAUUCAGAGAGUUGUUCUUGACAAUAAUUUAACAGUUAUUAUACGAAUAAAGCAGUUGUCAAAUCAUCAAAAGCAGGUGAUUGUAGAUGGCCAGCUCACAUUUCACAGUGAGCUUAAUUUUCCUGUUCAGCUGCGAUGUAAAUUUCAUGUUCCUACAUCUCAGAAAGGUUUAGCAUCAAGUUUACAGUUCAUCAAAUCCCUUUCUCCCUGCAGCAGCUCACCAGCUUUUCUCUUAUCACCUGAACAAUGCAAAAAUAUGACUUUAUCUGUUACUGGUAUUUUAGAUACUCAGUUAUGGUCUGAAGAAUUUUUCUUAGAUGAAAAGAUGCUCAUAAAGAUUCCAUUUGAAAAUAAGAACGUGUUUCAAAAUGCAUGGUGUCAAGUUGCUAGGCAAAGCAUUGAGGAAAAUAUAACUGUUAUUGUUGUCUUUUUUUCUCCUUUAUUUGUGAUACGAAGUAACUUGCCUAUUCCUCUUAAUGUGGAAAUAAUCUCACAAGAAGGUAAUGAAUAUGAUGUUCACCUUAUUGGCCGUGGGCAAGAAAUUCAGCUGCUAGAUGGCUCUGAAACAGGGCAUGAACUUCAGUUCAAAUUCAAGCGUCAUGCUAGCUCUGAUACAGAUAUAUCAGCACCACCUUUAUCAGUUUCUGCUUCAUAUCUUUCAAAAAUGCCCAUAAAAAUGUUUGAAGGCCAUGAAAACCUUUAUGAAAUAUGCUGUCAAAUGCAAUCAUUUAAUAAUAUGAUGUGGCCAUAUAGUUUCUAUGAAAGGUCUUGUCAUCCUACUACUAUAUUGGAGUCUUUGUAUCCAUGCUCUGAAGAAUAUUCUAAUUUAAUUCUUGCUACAGGGUGUGUCAACAUUUGCUCAAAAUUGAAGGUUGAAUGUUCACAAAGGUGGGAAGGUUUGAAUACCAUUCUGAUAGAUGUGAAACCUUAUGUACUUUUGAUUAACAGAUUAAAUACUGACUUGUAUCUCUUUGACAAGAAUGGAUUUCAGUGGCUCCUGUCACAAAACUCAGUGGCUAUGCCUUCAUUCUCUGAAGAAAGCUUUCAGCUUAGCAUAAUGGAGCAUGGGAAGUAUUUUUACAGCUGUAACUUGACCCUAGAAGAAUCGGUAUCGCAAAAAAACGCCUCCACAAAUUUGUUGCCAACUUCAUUUGGUAACAAGGAAUUUCAAAGCAUUCCAUGCAAUGGUUCAUUAAAUAUUCUUAUACCUGUAUGCUUGGAGGAGAGAAAGGUGUUUAUGUUUACUCUGAAAUCUGAAGUUUGUGAAGGAAUGAUUGUUAUUACUGCAUUUCCAUUAAUAUCUAUCAUGAAUAAAACUCAAGAUGAAUUAUUCUUGUCUCUUCAUUGCAUUCAAAACAGUGCUGGGAAAGUAAAUUUUCAUCAGACAUGCAGGAAUCCAAUUGUUUUGGGUAGCUUAACUGAAUGCUGUUACCCUUUGGUUUGGUGGGAAGAUAUUACUUCAUCUUCAUCUCCAUUUCCUGAAUUAGUGGAGAUAAAUUUUUACAUAUCUCUUGCAAAAUCUUUGGAUCUAGAAUGGAGUUACCCUGUAUGCUUUGAUUCAAAGCUGAAAGAUCACUCCAGACAUGCUGUAGCUGUUCCAGUGAAAUAUGGUGCAAAUUCAUGUAUGAGUGUUCCAUAUGUUCUAACUAGUCACCUGCACAAUGGGCUUUUAUUUCUUGUCGUCAACCAAGAUCCUAAUCCAUUAUUGUUACUGCACAAUCGGACUAAUAUGGAUAUAUUUUAUGGUGAAAGUUGUUCUGAAGUUGAAGGUAUUACAAUUUAUGAAGAGCUUCAAAAACACAAAAUUAUUCCUGUCUUACACCCUGAAGGCUCCUGCCACUAUGCGUUUCCAUCUCUUGAGGCAAAGUUUCCACAGGUUCUACAGAAGUUGCCUAUGUUGUGCUUAGGCUCAAGGAAAAAGAGUUCUGAAAAAUGCACAUGGAGUAUGCCAUUCAAAAUUAAUAUUGAUAAACAAUUUGUUCACAUACUUGGCAUUUGUGAUAUUAUGGUGCAUAGUGAGCAAUUGGGACAUACACUUAAUUUAUACAUUGAGUCAGUUAAUCGCAUUGAACUAACUGCAAAGGAGGUUAGAAGUAGAAUAGCACUUGCCACAGAUUUUAAUAAUCAUGCUUCUUCAUUUGUGAAAGAAACAGAAUGUGCGAAAUCAAAAACUAGUUCUAAUAAAAAAGACUGUGAAAUAAAGGCAAGAAGUAAACUGCAGUCUGCUGGUAAGAAAUCAGUAAUGUGUGAAAGUACCGAACAUUUUUCUAAAUUUCCAUAUAUUUUUUACAUAAACUUGAGAGUUAUUCAUACAAGUUUUAUAAUUUGUGAUGAAUUUAAAGAAAUCAAUAAAAGCAUGGAAGUUUUAAGGUUGAAUAUUGAUAAUGCUGUAUUUUAUUCAAGACCUCAUAAUGGUGAUUCUCUUUGUAGACUUCAAGAAAUAUCACUUUGUUUUGAACAUAUUCAAUUAGAUAACCAAAUAGACCAAGAAAGUAACAUAGUAUACGAUUUUCCUGUAGUUCUACAAAGGCACUCUGAAUCAGAUGUUAAGUCUGGCAGAAUUCACCAUGAUGACAUUUUUUUGCCUAAUAAAGUAAGGGAAAAUUCUGUUUUUAUUUUGAGUGCAACUAUUGAAUUUCCUAAUAAUGUUUCAAACUCAAUUGUGUAUCGAUCAUUAAAUAUUGAAUUAUUGCCUGUUUCUCUUUACAUAGAAGAUACUUUUUGCUAUAAAGUUAUUGCUUUGUCAAAGACUUACAAGCCUGUCAGUUUUCAUCAACAUAAACUACAGAAAGUACGGGGAUAUUUUCCAAAGAAUCUUCUUUUUGUGUCGGCAUUAUUUGUUCAACCAGUUCAUUUUCAACAUAUGACAGUUAGUAUAAAAGAAAUAUAUUUAAGUUUGCAUGCUUCUUUGAAAAUAUAUCUUUCCCUUGAACAUUCCUUACUCAGAUUUCAGCCAUUUGAAGUGACAGAUCUUUUCACCACACCAUAUGAAGCUGGCCAUGUAUUUAUUCUUCAUUAUUUAACUGGUGCACUGUUCCGAGCAGGUUGGGUAUUUGGAUCGUUAGAUCUUCUUGGAAAUCCAGCAGGAUUUGCGCGUGCUGUUGGAAUUGGAAUGUCAGAUUUCGUGUAUUUGCCAUACAGAGGUUUAUUUCAUGGGCCAAGAGCUUUUAUCUAUGGAUUAUCUAGUGGUGCUGCUUCUCUUUUCAAACAAAUAUCAUCUGGUGCUAUUAUAUGCAUGGCUAGCUUGGCUUCAAGUGUGUCAAAAAAUAUGGAUUUCUUUUGCAUGGAUGAUGAGCAUCUAGCACGGCAAGAACUUCUGAGACGCCAUUUGCCUCAAGGCAUUUCAGAUGGUUUCAUUCAAGGAUUAAGUGGAUUUGGACUCAGUCUUCUUGGUGCUGUAGCAGGUAUUGUUGAUCAUCCUCUCCAAGUCAUAAUAUCUCCAUCCACCCCAAUGCAAACUGCUUCUGGAAUAGUUGGUGGACUUGGUAAAGGCAUUAUUGGCAUGUUUACAAAGCCCAUUGGUGGAGCUGCAGAAUUGUUAUCUCAAACAGGAUAUGGUAUUCUUCAUGGAGCAGGUUGGCUUAAUCCUCCAAAACGUCAGUAUCAGCCUGUCACAAUGUCAUUUGAAAUGGUGAUGAGCAGUUACAUGAAAUAUUUGUGUAAAGUUUCACAGUGUUCAUCACUUGGAGAAGUGUUGCUUUCAGUUGAAGCAACUUAUGUUAAUGAGAAUGGCGAAUAUGAAAAAAAUAUUCUUCUAUUAACAUCUGAGGCUCUAUGCAUUCUCACUGAAGAUGAAGUUUCCCUGCAGUGCACAUUUGCGUUAACAGAGAUAAAGUGUAAAAAAUCUGAAAGUGAUUUGAGCACUCUUGUAAUCAUUCCAAGUAAUCUGUGCAAGAAGCAACUAUUUCUGGUGUUUGAACAUGCUAACAAGAUGGCACUUACAGAGAAACAAGGAGGUGAAGUGAUAAAGCUGUUGGAGUUGGAACUGGUUUUCCUAUACAACUGAACUGCCUGAUCUGGUUUUUCCCAUACAAUGUCUUGAAGCAGUGAAGCACCUCUCUUAGUUACCAAAACAUUCAGUGGCUUGCCAUAAAGAUCAAAAUGUUUUGACAAGUUCUGAUGAUUCUUGUGAUGCUGUUGAUAGAGUUGCAGAGUAUGUGAAAAGAAAUCGGCUGGACUCUUCAGAGGCUAUUGAAAAUUUGCCAGAGAGUACCUCUGAUCCUUUAAUUAAUUCUAGUUCAUCUUGUCAUGUUUUCUUCU